UAUAACUUUGAAGUCUCAUGAAAGCUUUUCCAUUGUUGAAAUAAUGACGUAUUUGUAUUCAGCAAUUGAGUAUCGAGUUCAUGAAUAUUAUUAGCCAUGCAAAUUUUACUCUUGUUGUGUUAUAAAGCAUUCGAGUAAUGAGUAUUAUUGAGUAUUUGAGUAUUGAGCAUUUUUUCCCUCCUUUUUCUCAUUUGAGUAUCAAAUUGUUAGGAUAUUCUUUAUUGUUAGGAUGGACAGCAAGUCUAUUUUCUUAUCCACGGACACACUAAGCUCAAAAAGCUGUUGAAAGUUUACUGCGACUACCAAUAUUUGGAUUUCACCUCAACCCGUUUUCUUGUUCGAUGGGGCUCGUUUUCAUGGCGAGCAGACUCCAGAUGAGCUUGGUAUGAAAGAUGGAGAUGAGAUCAAUGCCAUGUUCCAUCCAACUGAAAUUCAAAGAGCAAAGAUCAAUCUCAAGGUCACUGAUCAGUAUCAAUUGUCAGGUGUUUUUUCAUUGUUAGUAUGGACAGAAUGUCUUCUUUCAUAUCCACAAACGCACUCAGCUGAAAAAACUGUUGAAAGCUUACUGCAACCGCAAGUAUUUGGAUUUCGACUCAACCGUUUUCUUGUUCAAUGGGGCUCGUUUCUGUGGCGAGCAGACUUCAGACGAGCUUGGUAUGAAAGAUGGAGAUGUGAUCUAUGCCAUGUUCCAUCAGACCAAAAACCAAGGAGCUGAGAUCAAUCCCAAGGUUGAAGAAGAGUUAAAGGAAGCUGUUGACUUGGUUGAUGAGCUAAACGCUGAAGCAGAGACUCUAGUCCAUUUGGAGUGUUUGCAGUUGUCUGAGUAAAUAAGAGAGAUUGUAGUUUGAGUCUUUUCAGCUUGUUUUUAUCAAUAAUUGUGAAAUCUUAGUUAAUUGUGUACAAGGUAAAGAGCUUAAAUAUAAAUUUUGUAGACCACCCGUAAUAACUGAACUGACAUGAUGAGUUUGUAGAGGGUGAUUGAGAUUUUGGAAGUCUCAUGAAAGCUUUGCAUUGUUAGGCAUUGGGUAUUUAGUA